UGAAUCCGAGACGCUAAGGCGUCGAAGUAGUGUAUGUCAUACUUCCAAGAAAAGCUUGCACUGUCAUAGAUAAAAAACGCCUGUACCAUAACCGACACAGGUGGGUAGGUAGAGUAUACUAAGGGGCGCGAGAUAACUCUCUCUAAGGAACUCGGCAAAAUAACUCCGUAACUUCGGGAGAAGGAGUGCCUUAUUCGUAAGGUUGCAAUAACAAGAUCCAAGCAACUGUUUAUCAAAAACACAGGUCUCCGCUAAGUCGUAAGACGAUGUAUGGGGGCUGACGCCUGCCCAGUGCCAGAAGGUUAAAGAAGUUGGUUAGCAAUUGCGAAGCUGAUAACUGAAGCCCUGGUGAACGGCGGCCGUAACCAUAACGGUCCUAAGGUAGCGAAAUUCCUUGUCGGGUAAGUUCCGACCCGCACGAAAGGCGUAAUGAUUUGGAUACUGUCUCGGAGAGGGGCUCGGUGAAAUAGACUUGUCUGUGAAGAUGCGGACUACCUGCACCAGGACAGAAAGACCCUAUGAAGCUUUACUGUAACUCGAAAUUGAAAUUGGACUUUAUUCGCGCAGUAUAGGUGGGAGGCGUUGAUUAUAAUCUUGUGGGAUUAUUGGAGCCAUCAGUGAGAUACCACUCUUGUAAUGUUAGAUUUCUAACUUUGAAUCAUUAUCUGGUCAAAGAACAGUUUCAGGCGGGCAGUUUGACUGGGGCGGUCGCCUCCUAAACGGUAACGGAGGCGUACAAAGGUUUCCUCUGAACGGUUAGAAAUCGUAUCUAGAGUGUAAAGGCAUAAGGAAGCUUGACUGUGAGACCUACAAGUCGAGCAGGGACGAAAGUCGGUCUUAGUGAUCUGACGGUACUGAGUGGAAAGGCCGUCACUCAACGGAUAAAAGUUACUCUAGGAUAACAGGCUGAUCUCCCCCAAGAGUUCACAUCGACGGGGAGGUUUGGCACCUCGAUGUCGGCUCAUCGCAUCCUGGGGCGGUAGUACGUCCCAAGGGUUGGGCUGUUCGCCCAUGAAAGCGGUACGCGAGCUGGGUUCAGAACGUCGUGAGACAGUUCGGUCCAUAUCCGGUGUAGGCGUUAGAAUAUUGAGAGGAGCCUUCUUUAGUACGAGAGGACCGAGAAGGACAUACCUCUGGUGUACCAGUUAUCGUGCCAACGGUAAACGCUGGGUAGCUAUGUAUGGAGUGGAUAACCGCUGAAAGCAUCUAAGUGGGAAGCCCACCUCAAGAUAAG
rnacentral:rRNA from 1 species